CAGCCGCCGCGGUAAUACGUAGGUGGCAAGCGUUGUCCGGAAUUAUUGGGCGUAAAGGGCUCGCAGGCGGUUUCUUAAGUCUGAUGUGAAAGCCCCCGGCUCAACCGGGGAGGGUCAUUGGAAACUGGGAAACUUGAGUGCAGAAGAGGAGAGUGGAAUUCCACGUGCAGCGGUGAAAUGCGUAGAGAUGUGGAGGAACACCAGUGGCGAAGGCGACUCUCUGGUCUGUAACUGACGCUGAGAAGCGAAAGCGUGGGGAGCGAACAGGAUUAGAUACCCCUGUAGUCCCUGUCUCUUAUAC
rnacentral:rRNA from 1 species